GCGUGGGCCCUGAGGGCUGGCAGUGCCCUGCGGGCUUGGGGAGGGUGAGUGGCCCGGGGGCCAGGCAGGGGCACGGGGCAGGAAUGUUUCAUAACAGGAAACUGAUUUCCUCCCUCUGCUGUUAGAUCCUGACAGCUAGUGUGUGUGUGAGUGUGUGCGCGUGAGUGUGAGUGUGUGUGCGUGAGCAUGUGUGCGUGAAUGCGUGCGUGAGCAUGAGCAGAAGUGUGUGUGUGACCGUGAGUGAGCACGAGUGUGCGUGGAUGUGUGUGGAUGUGGAAGCAUGAGUGUGUGUGGGGGUGUGCACGUGCGUGAGUGUGGGGGUGCGCUUGCAGGCGUUUGUGCUGAGUGCCUGCUGUGUGCGCGCGUGCGCGUGUGUGCACCAGGCUCUAGUGAAUGUGGCUGUGAAACAUGUUCUGAUGUCUUAGCUCAGCGUGUGGGUCUGCCCGAUCGACCCCCAGACACACGUGUCCCUCCAGUUGGCUCUCUGUCCUCAGACCCGUCUGUCCUAACGAGAGCCCGAACUACAGCAGAGCUGACCCACCCCAUUGAUCUAUCUAUCCCCAUACCCCCCGCUAUCUAUCUAUCUAUCUAUCUAUCUAUCUAUCUAUCUAUCUAUCUAUCUAUCUAUCUAUCUAUCCCCACACACCCCCUCUAUCUAUCUAUCCCCCCACACACCCAUCUCUCCAUUCAAAUGCCUAUAUGGCCCUAACCGCCAGCAAUCUGAGCAUCUCCAGAAGGAUGCUGAGGUUGGGGGAAAGCCCCCUAGCAGCCCACCUCUCUGACAGAGUGUAUCGCUGACCCACUUGCCCGUGUGCUGGUCUAGGUUUGUUUCCCAGCCCACGCUAACGGGGCUGCCGGGCGGUUCUGUAGAGCAGCGUGUCGGCGACUCUGCGGAGAGACCCGUUAGAUAAAAGCAGAAGUAAUUCGCGGUAACCUGCAGAGCUAGACUUGGUCAUAAAAAUUUCAUUUUUAUUUUUGAUCAUUUCGACGGAGAAUCUCAGGGUUUAUUCGUAAGUCUUUUUUUUAGAUUUGCUUUGAGCUAAAUCUCCACAGCUGCACAAAAUUACGGGACUUUUUUCAGACAACGGGGUGGGGGUGCCGACAACGAGUAUUUAACGACACUAGAUGUUCAGAUUGAAAAAGGUCAAGCUUUCUAACCGGUCCAACCUAACUUGUCAACGUCACGUACCAAAAUACGCAAAGGAAACAGCCUUAAAUCAAACUACGGCCUUCUCUCCGUAGAUUUCAGUGAUCGUCGGCGGAAACACUUGUUAUCAGUUUGUGCGUGUACGUGGUGAAAUCAACAUUUACUGAUAAACAUCUACUCCUUCCCAGCCCAUGCACAGAUAAGCAUGGUGGGCCAUUGUACAAGCAUGUGUGUUAUGGGAAAUAUAUUUUGAGAAACUUAUAUGGUAAAAAGAUGGACUGUAUAGGUAAUGAGGUAGCUGCAUAUCUAUAUACGGACGGGGGGGGUGCAUGUUACGUGAAAUACGUUUUGGGAGAUGUGUGGUAAGGUGCCGUGUAUAGACAGCUAGAUGUGGGUCUAUGCACAGAUAGAGAAGUGUGUGUAUAAUUUGUGUGUCUAUACAAAAUAUGUGAGUAUAUGCCUCUUUGUGUAUAUGUGUAUCUACGUAAAAUGUGUGAAUGUACAUAAAUAUGUGUAUCUUGUGUACAUACACACACAAAUAUAUAUAUACACGCACAUGUAUGAUACACACAUCUCACAUCUAUUUAUGUGACUGUGUAUCUGUAAAGAAAAUGUGUUUCUCUAGCGAAGCGUGUAGGGAAAGAGGGGGUGACAUCACGGUGGGGGGUUUACCCCUAGAUCAGGGAGAGAAGCUGGAGGAGGCAUUUCUAGAACAAAUAACAGAAGGAUCCAAAACACAAGACCUGGUAGUAAGCAGGGGGCACUUCACCUCCCCACACAUCUGUCGGGAAGGUCAUACGGCAAGAUUUCCAGUCCGCUGCUGGAAUGCGCUGGGGCCAGCCGUUUGUUUCCGCCAGCGGAGGAAGGAACCGGGGGAAAGGGCAGUUUUGACUUGAUUCUGACCAGUGGGGAAGAAUGGGUCACGCAUCUGAAGUUGGAAGGCGAUUUGGGUGGAAGUGAUUGUGACGGGAUAAGUUCCAUGUUUCGACGGAAAGGAAGGAGUGAGAGCAGCAGGAACAGGACAGUGGACAUCAAAAAAAGCUGACGUUGACAAACUCCGAGAAUUGGCAGCUGAGGUCCCAUGGGGAGAAAAUCUAUGGGAUAAGGAGUUGAGGAGAGCUGGCAGUUUCUCAAGGAGACGCUAUCAAAGAUACAACUUCAAAGUAUCCCAGUACAAAGGAGAGAUCAGAAGAACAGUAAAAGGCCAGCGGGGCUCCUUCAGGAGCUCUUUAAUGACCUGAAAAUCAAAAAGGGCUCCUACUAAAAGUGGAAACCUGGAUGAACUGCUCAGGAGGAGAACAAAAAACCAGCCCAAUCAUGUAGGGACAAAAUCAGACAGGCUAAGGCACAAAACGAUUUACACCUGCAAGGGCCAUAUAAAGCAAGAAGAAGAGGUUCUUUAAAUCCAUUAGGAGCAAGAGAAAGGCAAAGGAAAGUGGAGGUCCUCUACUUAGCGGGGAAGGAUCCAAACUGAUGACAUCAAGAAGGCCCAAGUGUCUAAUGCCUAUUUUGCAUCAGUCUUCAUUAAAAUGGCUAACGGUGUCCAGGUACUCAACGCAAUGAAUAUUAACCAGGGGGAAGGAGCGCGAGCCAAAACAAGGAAAGAUCAGGAUAAAGCAUAUUUAAAUAAGUGAGAUACAUUCAAGUUGGCAGGGUCUGAUGAAAGCCAUCCUAGGUUAUUUAAGGAACGAGCUGAAGCGAUUAUCUUCGAGAGCUCCUGGAGGAUGGGUGAGGUCCCAGAGGACUGGACAGGGGCAAAUGUAGUAUUUUCCUUCUUUGUCUACUGGCCCAGUGAGCUGUAGAUAGGAAAUAUCUUGAUUUCAGUAACACUUUGGAUGCAGUCCCAUGUGACAGUCUCAUAAGCCAACUAAGGAAAUGCAGUCUAGAUGUAAGAUAGAUAGAUAGGUGGGUGCACAACUGGUUGAAAAUUGUACUCAGAGAGUAGUUAUCAAUGGUUGGCUGUCAAACUAUGAGGGUGUGUCUGCUGGGGUCCCGCAGGGGUCAGUCCUGAGUCAGGUACUGUUCAAUGUUUGUAUUAGUGACUUGGCUAACGGAGUGGAGCGUGUGCUUAUACGUUUGUGGCUGACACUAAGCUGGGAGGGGUUCCAAGCACUUUGGAGGACAGGAUUAGAAUUCAAAACAGCCCUGGCAAAUUGGAAAAUUGGCCUGAAAUCAACAAGAUGAAAUUCAGUAAAGACAAGUGCAAAGUACUUCACUCAGGAAGGAAAAAUCAAACGUCUAGUGUCAGGAAGAGGAGCUGGGGGCUAGAGUGAGUCACAAAUUGAACGAGCCCGCAAUGUGAUGCAGUUGUGAAACCGGCUAAUAUUCCGGGGUGUAUUAGCAGGAGUGUCAUACGUGAGACGCGGGAGGUGACUGUCCCGCUCUGCUCGGCACUGGGGAGGCCUCAGCUGGAGUCCUGGGUCCUGUUCUGGGUGCUGCGCUUUAGGGAAGAUGUGGACAAAUUUGGAGAGUGGCCAGAGGAGACCCACAGAAAUGACCCAAGGUUUAGCAAACCGGAUCUGUGAGAGAAGAUUAAACCCUGGGCAUGUUUAGUCCUGAGAAAAGACGACUGAGACAGGGGAGCUGAGAACAGUCUUCAAAUAUCUUAAGGGCUGUUACAAAGAGGGUGGGGAUCAAUGGUUCUCCCUGUCUCUGGAGGGUAGGACAAGAAGCAAUGGGCUUCAUCUGCAGCGAGGGAGAUGGAGGCUAGAAUUAGGAAAAACUUUCUAACUAACCCUAAGGGGAGCUAAGCUCUGGACCAGGUGUCCAAGGGCGGUUGUGGGAUCCCCGACACGAGGUUUUGAAGAACCGGUUGGACAAACCCCGGUCAGGGAUGGUCAAGGUUUAUUUGCUCCUGCCUCAGCACAGCGGGCUGGACCCAAUGAGCUCUCGCCGAUGAGCUCUCGAGAUCCCUUCCAGCCCCACAUUUCUAUGUUUCUUUGAUAUUUUAUUCCUCUACCGUACAGACAUUUUGUUAAAACCACGUCUUCUCUUAAUAUAUGAAUGAGACGCA